AUGCAUACUUUCCGUAGGUUCGAGGAUAAGUCUGAUGCCAUCAACCUCACCACCAGGCGAGUAGGCCCCCGAAUGAUCUCACUGAUCUGCAAGUACUGCCUCCUUGGAGAACUAAUCAUUGUUGGAAGCCUUGAAUAUAAAUCAAUUCUCGAAGAGAAUCUGAGGCGAGCCUGUUCGUACAAUGACAUAGUGAGGGAGAUUAUGUGGGGUAUGCAGAAUCUCAUGCCUCUUUUAAUCCCUCAAGAACAAUCUGUGUUCACAAAAGCGGACCGGCUCCUCAUAUGCAAAGGAUUGGAUAUGCUUUUAUCUUGA
rnacentral:rRNA from 1 species